UACAACUAUUACAGAUUUUUGGAGGAUGGUUUGGCAAGAAAACACAACAAAGAUUGUGAAUCUCACAAACAUAAAGGAGGGCACGAAGAUUAAAUGUGACAAAUACUGGCCAGAUCAAGGUCAUUCUCACAAAAGAGGGAGCAUUAAAAUACGGAAUAUUGAAGAAACAGUCUACGCAAAUUACGUCGUGAGAAAAUUUAACGUAACUAGCAAGACAAGCAUUGAUAUACGAGUGGUCUGCAUGUUCCAUUACACGGAGUGGCCAGAUCAUGACGUACCGGAAGCUCUAAACUUGGCACUCUUCCAGAGACAUGUUACACGGGUGGCCCAGUCACAGGUUAAAUCUCCAA